GGAAGUAAAAGUCGUAACAAGGUUUCCGUAGGUGAACCUGCGGAAGGAUCAUUAUUGAAGUCUGGUUGUUGCUGGCCUUUCUUGGGGCAUGUGCACGCCUUAUUCAAACCCACCUGUGCACCUUUUGUAGACUUGUGUUUGUCUACCGAUAAUUAUUUACUCCCGUAUUCAGAAUGUAUUGAUUGGCCUCAGUGCCUUUAAUCAAAUAAUACAACUUUCAGCAACGGAUCUCUUGGCUCUCGCAUCGAUGAAGGACGCAGCGAAACGCGAUAAGUAAUGUGAAUUGCAGACACGUGAAUCAUCGAAUCUUUGAACGCACCUUGCGCUCCUUGGUGAUCUGAGGAGCAUGCCUGUUUGAGUGUCAUUAAAUUCUCAACCUAACCAGCUUUUGUGAGCUGGGAUAUAGGCUUGGAUUGUGGGGGCUUUGCUGGCUUCAACCAAAGUCAGCUCCCCUUAAACGCAUUAGUGGAACGAUUUUGUUGACCUUGUUCCUGGUGUGAUAAAACCUUUAUCACCACCGUGUGCAGUCAGCUUACUCUGCUUCUAACAACGUUUAUUAAUUAAACUCUUGACCAUUUGACCUCAAAUCAGGUAGGACUACCCGCUGAACUUAAGCAUAUCAAUAAGCGGAGGAA
rnacentral:rRNA from 1 species